rnacentral:lncRNA from 1 species
AAAAUACAAAAUCCUUGGCCCUUUGUUAGGGCUGCAUCCAGCCCUAGAGAGGAGAUCAGCCUUCCAUAUAGUUGUGGACGAUAGCAGUAGCGCAGAGGACUCUGACUCCCAUCACGGCUACCUCCUUCUUCUCUCCGUCUUCUCCCUCCUUCUGACUUCCUUGAAAACUCGGCUAUAGGGAGAAGUUUGCUGAUCCUUUCAUCCGAAGAAUGCCCCCUCUGGUUUCCAUGAAGAGCCUUUUAUAGACUGCAUACCUCCCCCUCUCUCCCCUGUUCCAAGUUGAGAUAAAGAUGGAUCAAUAGCUGCGGGAUAGAGUCGAUAUCUUUUGAUCCUUGAAUCGCGGAUGCUGGGAUUAAUCAGGAACAUUGGUUGGUUCGGAAGUAGUGGGUAGGCUGGGAUCUGGGGUGAAUCCAUAGAUGAGGAGAGGAUGAGGAUGCUAGAUUCGGCUGGGAGGAUGUUGUUCCGAAAUAGGGGAAGAUUUAGGACGUGGCCGACUCGUGAUGUGAGGAAGAACAUUCGGGAUUUGGAAGAGAUGAAGCUGAGAUGGCUGGCAGCUGGGAAGAAAUCUGGAGAUUCGGAAGUAGGGGAGAUGAGCAAGAUGCGGGAGCAAAGAUCAUGGGAUUCGGCUGGUAGUGAUUCCAGAACAGAGGAAUUCGUAGAUGCUGGGAGUUAAGAUUGGAUCCUGAGUUCGGUGGGAACAGGGGAUUCAGAUAAGAAAGCAAAGCUGGAUUUGUGAGCGUGGAUAUGGAUGAAACGAAUCCGGAAGAAAAGGAUCAUGGGAUAAGCUUUCAUUUGGCUGGGAGGAGAUCUUUGGAUGCCGUGUUUGCUGGUCCGUGAGGUUCGGGAGGAUGAAGUCGCAUCAUGGGAUGAAUGCGGUUGCUGGGUUCAUGCGGACGGAAGGGAAGAUGAAGUUGAGGAGGGAUUUGCGGACGUUGGGACUUGAUGGAUGCUGAAAGGGAUGAAGGCGGGAUGAGCUGGGGGAUGGGAUUUGAGUUUAUCCCGUGAAGAUGGAGGGAACGGCUGGAAGUGAAGACUAUUGUGAAGACACGAUGGGAAGAGGAUGAGGAUGCUGGGACGUUGGGGAUUUCAUGAGAUCAAGCCGGAAGAGAAGAACCUGUUCUUUGGACAUGGGAGGUAAGGAUUUAAGGAGGAAGAGAAUCACGGAGAAGAUGGGAUUGAGCUGGCUCUGUUUUGAAGAAGAGGAUAAGAGGAUAAG